rnacentral:lncRNA from 1 species
GGCUCCGCGGGAAAAGAGGCCUUGUUAGAGGCGCGAGGUAGUUUGGGGCUGAAGCCUUCUGCUCAAGAGUAACCUUAGGCCUGUGUUGUGGUCACGCCAGCGGCCUCCGUUUCCUUUAGCCUUCUCCCUCACCAAACGACUUUCCUGUCCAGUUAUAAAAUGCAAGUUGUUUCCCCAAGGAAAACAUCAUGUGAUUCAUUUUCUUUUAGAGAAAUUUUCAAAAGGGAGUGCUCUUUGGAUCAACACCUGUAGGAAAGGAGCUGCCCUGCACUCUCAGCAAAGACCUCAGCCAACCCCAAGCUGAGACAGAGCAAUAGAGACCAGAUGUACCUUUCUCAGCUGAAACAACUAAAAAGACAAGACAAAAUAUAUGAAAGAAUGGUUAUUGAGACAGUGGACAUCACACAGUGAAUGACAGUGAUCCCUGAGAGAGAGAAGCAAACAAG